rnacentral:rRNA from 1 species
UACGAAGGGGGCUAGCGUUGCUCGGAUUGACUGGGCGUAAAGGGCGCGUAGGCGGCUUACACAGUCAGACGUGAAAUUCCUGGGCUCAACCUGGGGGCUGCGUUUGAUACAUGUAGGCUUGAGUUCGGAAGAGGGUCGUGGAAUUCCCAGUGUAGAGGUGAAAUUCGUAGAUAUUGGGAAGAACACCGGUGGUGAAGGCGGCGACCUGGUCCGAUACUGACGCUGAGGCGCGAAAGCGUGGGGAGCAAACAGG